rnacentral:rRNA from 1 species
GACGAACGCUGGCGGCGUGCUUAACACAUGCAAGUCGAGCGGAAAGGCCCUUCGGGGUACUCGAGCGGCGAACGGGUGAGUAACACGUGAGUAACCUGCCCCAGACUUUGGGAUAACCCUCGGAAACGGGGGCUAAUACCGGAUACGACACAGCUUCGCAUGGGGUCUGUGUGGAAAGUUUUUCGGUUUGGGAUGGGCUCGCGGCCGAUCAGCUUGUUGGUGGGGUGAUGGCCUACCAAGGCGACGACGGGUAGCCGGCCUGAGAGGGCGACCGGCCACACUGGGACUGAGGGACGGCCCAGACUGCUACGGGAGGCAGCAGUGGGGAAUAUUGCACAAUGGGCGGAAGCCUGAGGCAGCGACGCCGCGUGAGGGAUGACGGCCUUCGGGUUGUAAACCUCUUUCAGCAGGGACGAAGCGUAAGUGACGGUACCUGCAGAAGAAGCGCCGGCCAACUACGUG